rnacentral:lncRNA from 10 species
AACACACCAACAUGGCGCAUGUAUACACAUGUAACAAACCUGCACAUUGUGCACAUGUACCCUAGAACUUAAAGUAUAAUAAAAAAAAAUGUGGCACACCGUGGAACACUAUGCAGCCAUAAAAAAGGAUGAGUUCAUGUCCUUUGCAGGGACAUGGAUGAAGCUAGGAGCCAUCAUUCUCAGCAAACUAACACAGGAACAGAAAACCAAACACCAUAUGUUCUCACUCAUAAGUGGGAGUUAAACAAUGAGAACAUACGGACACAGGGAGGGGAACAUCACACAUGGGGGCCUGUUGGGGGUCGGCGGCUAGGAGAGGGAUAGCAUUAGGAGAAAUACCUAAUGUAGAUGACGUGUUUAUGGGUGCAGCAAACCACCAUGGCACGUGUAUACCUAAUGUAACAAACCUGCACGUUCUGCACAUGUAUCCCAGAACUUAAAGUAUAAGAAUUUAAAAAAUAGCCAUUUUAGUGGGUUUCUUCCUAUGUGUUUCUCUGAAGUCCUCCUCUCUUUUCUCUCAUAUGGACAUCAGUCACUGGAUUUAGGAUUCAUCCGAAAUUCAGGAUGAGUCAUCUUAAGAUCUUCAAUUACAUCUGCAAAGCCUCUAAUUCCAAAUAGUCACUCUCUGAAGUCCCAGGUGGGUGUGAACCUUUGGAGGACACAAGUCAACCCAGUGAGUAGGAAGUGGAAGUUGAGGUUCCUUUUUUCCACAUGGAUAUCCAGUUCCAGCAUGAUUUCUGAAAAUAACUUACUUUCUUUCUGCCAUGAUGUUCAAAUAUGCUUUAUUCUCACCAAAUUUUGGUCUGUUGGUUCUACCAAUCACUGAAAGAGAAAUGUUGAAGCCAUGGAAUUGUCUUGGUGGAUUUUGUCUAUUUCUCCACCAGUUAUGCCAUUUUCUUCGUGUAUUUUCAAGCUCUGCUAUCAGGCACACACACAUCUAGAAUUAUUGUCAGUUUUUCCCUGUUCUUCAUUUGGAUAAUUUCUAUUGCCCUGCAUCCAAAGGCACUAUUCUUUUCUUCUCUCAUAUCCAAGCUGUUGUAAGCCAGUCCAGUAAAUUUUUUUAUUUCCCAUAUUAUAUUUCUCAGCUUUAGAAUUUGUGUUUUAUUCUUUUUAAUAGUUUGGAAUUUUUGUUAAAAUCCCCAGCCAUUCACCUUUUUGUUUCUCUUUUGCUUCAAGUCUCUGAAAUAUCAGCUGCUUUAAGUCCUCGUCUGCUCAUUCCCACAUUCCCACUACAUCCAGGAUGCCAUCCUGCUGAAAUGCUGCACUCUGUCGUUGGAGCUGUGGGUGUCUCUGAAGUCCUCCUCUCUUUUCUCUCAUAUGGACAUCAGUCAGAUGUAAGGGCUGCUGAGUUUUGCUUGGUCAGCAGUGAAUUUAUCGGUGGGACUGGCUGACUUUCGCAGGCUUCCCUGCUUUCAGGAAGCUCCUCAGAGGUGAAUCAGAUAAUGAAGCAGAACAAGAUCUGCCCUUGUGAAUUGCUUAUUUGAUUGCCAUCAUCUUAAUUUUAAUUUUAUUAUAAAGUGUGUAGGCAACACAGUUGAAGAAAACUGUGAAGCCACAGGAGCCUAAGCAAUAGAUUCGAUUCCUUCCAUUUGACUCCAUUGUCAUCCUUCCACUUCAUAUCCCUAUCCCAUCCUACCUGGUCUCAUAGUGACUGUCGAAUCCCCCUUAGCCUGCAUUCUGAACAAAUGCACCUAGUUGGAUUCCUCUCUCAUCCUUGCAAAAACAAAACAAAUAAAGCAGAAACACCCUUUGCUCAUGUUUCUACCAAAAUAAGCAUUGCCUGUGAGCUCUAUGUGCCUUACUUGUGUUGUGCCCUCUGCAGCGCCCAGCAAGAUGCCUGAUCCACAGUCAGCAGACAACAAACAGCUUCAAGGCUCUGUUGGGUCAGGGCAGUCUUUAGAUGAAAACCCUGCUCAGUGAGGAAACCACAGUCUCACCACAACGGGGCAUUCCAGGAGCUUGUCUGUGUCAGCAUAGAUGUUCGCCUCUGCACAAGGUGUUGUGAAUUACUGUACUUGCCCUUCUUCUCUAUCUAGGUCAUUUUUCUUUUCCAAUGGUGCCUUUAAUUUAGAUUUGGGAGGGGUUAAGAUACUGGCAGCUCUUUGUUCUUUGAGCUUAUAAAACAAUGACAGAGCUAGAGUGUUCUUCUGAGCAAGGCGAUCUGCUGGUUGAUAAUGAUGAUAUGAGAGAGAAAUAGCAGAUGUGUUUUAGUGUCAACACUGAAGGACAUUCCGAAGGCCUCAUCCCUAGCUCAGACAUAGGGCUCCACGCAGCUGCUGAUCUUGUCCAUUACUGUAUCAGUCAGGUUUCUCCAGAAAAACAGAACCAACAGGAGAUGAGAGAGAGGACAAUUUUAAGAAAUUUGCCAUGCGAUUGUGCGGCGGCCGAAUCCAAAAUCAGUGGUGCAGGUCAGCAGCUGGAAACUGAGGCAGGAGCCAGUGCUGCCAUGUUGAGGUGGAACGUCUUCCUCUAUGGAAACCUCUGUCUUUAACAGUAAGGCCUAUGGCUGGCUGGGUGAGGCCCACCCACAUUACAGAGUGUAAUCUCCUUUACUUCAAGUUAACUGAUUGCAGAGACUGAGCACAUCUGUAGAAUACUUUCACAGCAACACCUAGAUCCGUGCUUGAUUAAAUACACGUAAAGAAUUGCUUAUGGAGGCAUCCAUAUAAACAAGUUUUAAAGGGAUUGGUUUUAAGUUUCAUGGCAAAAAAUACAGAAGGUAAUUAACGUACAGAAAAUAUUUACCCUUGGUCAAGUGCAGUGGCUCAUGCCUGUAAUCCCAGCACAUUGGGAGGCUGAGGCAGAAGGACUGCUUGAGGCUAGGAGUUCAAGACCAGUCUGGGCAACGUAGGGAAACCUUGUCUCUAAAAAAAAAAAGAAAAAAUUUAAGUAGCUGGGCAUGGUGGUGUACGCCUGUAGUCCCAGCUACUGGGGAGGGUGAGCUGGAAGGAUCACUUGAGCACAGGAGGUCAAGGCUGCAUUGAGUCAUGAUGGCACCACUGCACUCCAGCCUGGGCAACAGAGCGAGACCCUGUU